CCAGCACUGCAUUUGGAAGAAUCUUGAAUUCCCUGUAAUGGAACUUUGACUUUAUCAUGUUGGGAAUACAAGACAUUGAAAGAAAAAAAUUAACUAGUAUUUACUAUACACCGUGUGCUAAGUGCUAUGUUUUAAAUAGUCAUCUAAUUUCAGCCUGAGAUAAAUUCUGCAAGCCUUCCUCUUUUAUUACACAAGUUGACCUGCGCCCCAUCAAAGCAGGAAGAGGUUUUCAGCAUAAAGGAUCCAGAUGUUCCUCACAGGAUUGGUAAAGAAGAAAACUCAUCAAUUCUCCAGGACAUUAAUUAACUUGAGAAAUUCAUGGAAGAACUACUUGGAGUCAAGUGUGACGUAUAAAUGGUAUCAUCUAUUUCGACAUGUUCCUUUCACUGUCUUCAAAACAUCUACGAGGACGUCUGGGUUGCCUACCUCUCCAUUUGGCAUCCCCAAAUGAGGAGAAAUGCGAUGGCAGUAGUCAAGAUUUGGCCGGAACCAGCUUCUCUCCCCUUUAUGUGGGUGGAUGAGAGUGUCCAUGAACGUGCACAUUUUAACAUGUAUAAAAUACUCUAAAGACAGCAAAACAACUAGAAGACCUCCCGGAAAUCUGCAGUCCCCUUGAGGAAAUAAAAUUUGCACAUGAAACCACGUGCAAAUAUAUAUAAAACAACGUGUCAAAAAGGACAAAUUGAUAUACACCGCCACUAUUUUUAUUUCGUGUUUUUGAAAUCAUGGAAUUAAUUGUUUUUAUUAUAAGGGUAAUAUAUUAAUUAUCCUCUGCCCAUGUAGAAAAUCCACAAAAUAAUGAAGAUUGAAGUAACU